GAUGAACGCUGGCGGCGUGCCUAAUACAUGCAAGUCGAGCGAACAGACGAGGAGCUUGCUCCUCUGACGUUAGCGGCGGACGGGUGAGUAACACGUGGAUAACCUACCUAUAAGACUGGGAUAACUUCGGGAAACCGGAGCUAAUACCGGAUAAUAUAUUGAACCGCAUGGUUCAAUAGUGAAAGACGGGUUUGCUGUCACUUAUAGAUGGAUCCGCGCCGCAUUAGCUAGUUGGUAAGGUAACGGCUUACCAAGGCGACGAUGCGUAGCCGACCUGAGAGGGUGAUCGGCCACACUGGAACUGAGACACGUUCCAGACUCCUACGGGAGGCAGCAGUAGGGAAUCUUCCGCAAUGGGCGAAAGCCUGACGGAGCAACGCCGCGUGAGUGAUGAAGGUCUUCGGAUCGUAAAACUCUGUUAUUAGGGAAGAACAAAUGUGUAAGUAACUAUGCACGUCUUGACGGUACCUAAUCAGAAAGCCACGGCUAACUACGUG
rnacentral:rRNA from 1 species